rnacentral:rRNA from 1 species
AUUGAHCGCUGGCGGCAGGCCUAACACAUGCAAGUCGAGCGGUAGAGAGAAGCUUGCUUCUCUUGAGAGCGGCGGACGGGUGAGUAAUGCCUAGGAAUCUGCCUGGUAGUGGGGGAUAACGCUCGGAAACGGACGCUAAUACCGCAUACGUYCCUWACGGGAGGAAGGGGGCUUUUCGGAGCCCUCGCUGACAGAUGAGCCUAGGUCAGAUUAGCUAGUUGGUAGGGUAAAGGCCUACCAAGGCGACGAUCUGUAGCGGGUCUGAGAGGAUGAUCCGCCACACUGGAACUGAGACACGGUCCAGACUCCUACGGGAGGCAGCAGUGGGGAAUAUUGGACAAUGGGCGAAAGCUGAAUCCAGCCAUGCCGCGUGUGUGAAGAAGGCCUUUUGGUUGUAAAGCACUUUAAGCGGGGAGGAGGGCACCACGGUUAAUACCCGUGAAUGUCGGACGUUACCCGCAGAAUAAGCAACCGGCUAACUCUGUGC